rnacentral:lncRNA from 1 species
AGCCUUUGCUUAUGCAAAGAGGAAUCUACAAAGGUAAAUUUAUCAACUCACUUUGUUUUUUAGUUGAUUAUUGGUUCACCAAUCUACUAGGCUUUGAAUUUCAUGGUCAUGUUUUGUUUUUGAGUACAUACAAGCAUGAUUCCGCCUUUAAUUGUUAAAUUGCAUGCUAUAUGAUGUUGCUCAAAUGAACAUGUUUUUCAAAAUAAUUCCUUCACCCGGACCGACCCGUUUCUAAUUAUAAUGAACGACCCAGAUUGGAUGAUAAGUUAUCAUCCAAUCUCAAUUGUUAGUUUCAAGAUCAACCCUAGCCAAUUCCUCCAGGUUCCAGAAUCACUCCCUCGCCUAUCCUUCGACUCCAUCGCCUCUCCCUGGACUCCCUCCACUCAAUCGCCUCUCCCUCAACUCCCUCGGCUCUAACUCUCAAUCGUCUUCCCCUCACCUCACAGUACUCACACCAGCCUCAUUAUCUAGGUUUUAAUUUCCUAGCUCCAAGGUGUGGGGGUUGCAGGUUUGAUGGAGGUGGGUUCUGGGUUUCCAAUCUGAGCUCGUAGAGCGACGAGUGUGUAGAGAAAUAGGGGCCAAGAGUUGAAAGGGUUUGAGAGAGAGAGUUACAACCUUAGGGUUUCGAAGGUAGAAAUGGAAUGAUGGAUGGUGGCUGUGCAAUCUGUGCGAUGUAAGAUCGAGAGUUGUAGAGGAAGCUUUGUUUCUCUUCCAGUUUUUUAGUUUCUGUUUGGUUUAAUUUGUCUGUAACCUGAGCUCAAUUCCAACUGUAGUUUAUGUUUGGUAAUUGCAGAAGUGAAAAUUCUAUGCUACUGUGCAUAACCUGGGCUCUGUUGAUGAAGCAUUUCCCUUUUUUGUCUGAAUCAGAAAGAUGUUUGAGGGCUGCUGCUGAUGGUUCUGAGGGAUCAGGGCUAGGCUCUCUACGCCGUUGUAGACUGGAGCUCACAAAACGUGGUCUUUUGGGGAUAGCGUGGCCAUUUCAACUUUGAUGGACUGCGUGGCCUUGGCGGAUGGAGGCAGAGACAUUGACAAAGGUGGAGGUUUCGAGAAAAGAAAAAAAACAAACAAACAAAGAACCCGUGGACCCGGCCCUUUCCAACAGGGCCGGGUAAGGUUCAGUUCCUAUAUAAGAAUAUGUUAUCCCCGGCCCGGCCCAUGCCCACCCUUAGUUGUGAUACCAAAUGGGGCGGAAAUGGGAGCAGUUAAAGCUCGUAUGUGGGAAUAUAUAUAUAUUAAAUCAUAUAGUGGCAUCACAACUGCCCUAAUAAGGGUUCUCAGGGCAUCUAUGUGGGGUUUACAAUUUACAACAAUCAAAAACUAAAAAGAGUAAGAUAUGUAAGUGUUUAUAAUAGCACGAAAAUCAGGGAACUGAGAAUGAAAGAAUAUGCAUUGACGUUUGAGGUGGAUUUAGAUUCAUUUGGUUUGAUUUUUUGUUAAAAUUUUGAAUAGAAAAUGAAGGAAAAAAAUCUAGGGAAUAAGAUGUUCAACAAAUUUGGGCCUAAAGUUAGGUUUACUCGACAUUGAAAUGAAAUUAGGCUGAUAUUUGACUUUGGAUCGAGCUUAGAAAAUGAACACUGAACAUACAUAAAAAAUAUUAAUUUAUAGUCACUCGGUUUGGUUCGGUUCAUAAACCACCAAAAUCAAAACCGAACCAAUAGUUUUCUGUUUGAUCGGUUCAGUUUUGGUUUGGUAUUCUUUCUAAAAAUUUUUGUUUUGUUUUCCAAGCCCACCCCUAAUUGACGUAUCGUUGGUCUAAACUCAUAAUGUACAACACGUACAAACCACAAAAUCAAAUUAAGAGUCUACAAAAAAGCAUGAGAUACGCCCAAUGAGUAAAUAGAUAUAAAGUUUUAAUACAUGUACUUCAAAACCCUUAUUUUCUUUAAAAUGGUGGUGUUAUAGACAAUGCAUGAUAUAUAUUUUUUUAAAUGAUACUAUUUUGAACACCUUAGUGUCCUGUAACGUACCAUGUGAGCUGCUCAUCAACUUUGGUAUAUAACAAUGUCAUGAAACAAGUGGACUAGACUCUCUCUCUCUCAAGAACAGUGUCCUCUCUCUAAAAAAGCCCCAAAUUUCUAAAAGCUUCCUCGCCAUCAGCCCCUUAUUCCGGUUUGGGGUCGGCGGCAGCCCAAUGCUCACCCCUCCUUGCCCUCCUCCCUCUUCA